GGGGAUGUAGCUCAGUGGUACAGCACCUGCCUGGCAAGCACAAGAUCCUGAGUUCCAUCCCUG
rnacentral:tRNA from 1 species